rnacentral:rRNA from 1 species
UGAUCGUGGCUCAGGACGAACGCUGGCGGCGUGCCUAAUACAUGCAAGUAGAACGCUGAGGUUUGGUGUUUACACUAGACUGAUGAGUUGCGAACGGGUGAGUAACGCGUAGGUAACCUGCCUCAUAGCGGGGGGAUAACUAUUGGAAACGAUAGCUAAUACCGCAUAAGAGUAAUUAACACAUGUUAGUUAUUUAAAAGGAGCAAUUGCUUCACUGUGAGAUGGACCUGCGUUGUAUUAGCUAGUUGGUGAGGUAAAGGCUCACCAAGGCGACGAUACAUAGCCGACCUGAGAGGGUGAUCGGCCACACUGGGACUGAGACACGGCCCAGACUCCUACGGGAGGCAGCAGUAGGGAAUCUUCGGCAAUGGACGGAAGUCUGACCGAGCAACGCCGCGUGAGUGAAGAAGGUUUUCGGAUCGUAAAGCUCUGUUGUUAGAGAAGAACGUUGGUAGGAGUGGAAAAUCUACCAGUGACGGUAACUAACCAGAAAGGACGGCUAACUACGUGCCAGCCGCGCAGU